rnacentral:rRNA from 1 species
UACGAAGGGGGCUAGCGUUGCUCGGAUUGACUGGGCGUAAAGGGUGCGUAGGCGGUCGGGUAAGUCUGACGUGAAAUCUCCGGGCCUAACCCGGAAACUGCGUCGGAUACUAUCCGGCUAGAGGAUUGGAUGGGAGACUGGAAUACUUGGUGUAGCAGUGAAAUGCGUAGAUAUCAAGUGGAACACCAGUGGCGAAGGCGAGUCUCUGGACAAUUCCUGACGCUGAGGCACGAAAGCCAGGGGAGCAAACGGG